rnacentral:rRNA from 1 species
AUUGAACGCUGGCGGCAUGCUUUACACAUGCAAGUCGAACGGUAACAGGUUAAGCUGACGAGUGGCGAACGGGUGAGUAAUGCAUCGGAACGUGCCCGGUCGUGGGGGAUAACGCAGCGAAAGCUGCGCUAAUACCGCAUACGAUCCGAGGAUGAAAGCGGGGGACCGUAAGGCCUCGCGCGAUCGGCGCGGCCGAUGUCAGAUUAGGUAGUUGGUGAGGUAAAGGCUCACCAAGCCAACGAUCUGUAGCUGGUCUGAGAGGACGACCAGCCACACUGGGACUGAGACACGGCCCAGACUCCUACGGGAGGCAGCAGUGGGGAAUUUUGGACAAUGGGCGAAAGCCUGAUCCAGCAAUGCCGCGUGCAGGAAGAAGGCCUUCGGGUUGUAAACUGCUUUUGUACGGAGCGAAAAGGCUCUCUCUAAUACAGGGGGCUCAUGACGGUACCGUAAGAAUAAGCACCGGCUAACUACGUGCCAGCAGCCGCCGUAA